UAUCCGUAGGUGAACCUGCGGAGGGAUCAUUACAGAGUUCAUGCCCUACCGGGUAGAUCUCCCACCCUAUGUUAUUAUUACUUUGUUGCUUUGGCGGGCCGUUAGGCUCCGGCCCGACUACCGGCCCCGGCUGGUAAGCGCCCGCCAGAGGACCCAAAACCCUGAAUAUUAGUGUCGUCUGAGUACUACAUAAUAGUUAAAACUUUCAACAACGGAUCUCUUGGUUCUG
rnacentral:misc_RNA from 1 species